rfam:Oryza barthii chromosome 3, whole genome shotgun sequence.
UUUAAAUGCAAUCAUAAGUUUUCGCGCUCAACUUUCAUCGUUUGUAUUAUUUUUUUAUAAUUAGUAUUUUUGUUAUUACGAGAUAAUAAAACAUGAAUAAUACUUUACUCGUGACUUAUGUUUUUAUUUUUUUUUCAAAUUUUUUUAAAUAAGACGGAUGUUUAAAGUUGGACGCGAAAAACCAUGGCUGCACUUAAA